UACGUAUGGUGCAAGCGUUAUCCGGAUUUACUGGGUGUAAAGGGAGCGUAGGCGGCGCGUUAAGUCUGAUGUGAAAACCCGAGGCUCAACCACGGGAGUGCAUUGGAAACUGGCGGGCUGGAGUACCGGAGGGGCAGGCGGAAUUCCUAGUGUAGCGGUGAAAUGCGUAGAUAUUAGGAGGAACACCAGUGGCGAAGGCGGCCUGCUGGACGGAGACUGACGCUGAGGCUCGAAAGCGUGGGGAGCAAACAGG
rnacentral:rRNA from 1 species